rnacentral:rRNA from 1 species
GACGUAGGGCGCAAGCGUUGUCCGGAUUUAUUGGGCGUAAAGAGCUCGUAGGCGGCUCAGUAAGUCGGGUGUGAAACCUCCAGGCUCAACCUGGAGACGCCACCCGAUACUGCUGUGGCUUGAGUCCGGUAGGGGAGCGUGGAAUUCCUGGUGUAGCGGUGAAAUGCGCAGGUAUCAGGAGGAACACCAGCGGCGAAGGCGGCGCUCUGGGCCGGAACUGACGCUGAGGAGCGAAAGCGUGGGUAGCAAACAGG